CAGACAUUAUCGACCCGACUCAGCUGUGUGUGUGUUCGUGCGGAUGUAGGUGUGUGUCAGUGAGCGCUGAACCCCCGUGGCGGUAGGACGUGCACACACUACACACACAAACACACACACACGCCCCACACACACGCACGCCCACGCCCACCACAGGAGCACAGUGAGCACAUCUGAGGGAGCGGCGGCGUGAGGUGAAGGGAACAUGUCGGGGACAAGAUGGCUGCCCCGGGUGCUGGGCGGCGUAAGGUCUUACUACUCCUACUCCCACGAGCCCUUCCACCCCCUGAAGCGUCAGCCGGCGUGGAAGUCAGCCGAGGAAGCCGUGUCGGUCAUCAAGUCAGGUGACGUGGUGUUCCUGCACGGCGCCGCGGCCACGCCCCUGCGGCUGGUGGAGGCCAUGACGGAGCAUGGGCUGCGGCAGGGCCUGCGGGGCGUCUCCGUCUGCCACAUCCACACGGAGGGCGAGGCGGCCUACACCAAGCCCGGCUGCGAGGAGAUCUUCCGUAGUAACUCGUUCUUCAUCGGGGCGAACUGUCGGAGUGCCAUCAACGAGGGGCGCGCCGACUACGUGCCAAUCUUCCUGUCCGAGAUCCCGCUGCUCUUCCACAGAAACAUCAUCGACAUCGACGUGGCGCUGGUGCAGGUCUCACCGCCGGACAAGCACGGCUUCUGUUCCCUGGGUACUAGCGUGGACUGUGCCCGCGCCGCCGUGCAGAACGCCAAGCACAUCAUUGGGCAGGUCAACCCGUGCAUGCCCCGGACGUUCGGUGACGGCGUGAUCCACAAGAGCCACUUCGAUGCCAUGGUGGACGGGCUCGACAACCUGCCCGAGCACGUGCCCAAGGAGCGCUCGGAGGUGGAGAACGAGAUCGGGAGACUCAUCGCCGAGCAGCUGGUGGAGAACGGCGCCACUCUGCAGAUGGGCAUCGGCAACAUCCCCGACGCGGUGCUGGCCUCCCUGAAGGGCCACAAGGACCUGGGCAUCCACUCGGAGAUGUUCAGCGACGGCGUGGUGGACCUGGUGGAGGCGGGCUGCGUCACCAACACGCACAAGGCAUACCACCCGGGCAAGAUUGUGGGCAGCUUCCUCGUCGGCACCAGGAAGCUCUUUGACUUCGUGGACAACAACCCCUUCGUCGUUAUGUGUGACGUGUCCUUCGUGAACAGCAUCCCCGUGAUCGCUAAGAACCCGCGCGUCACCGCCAUCAACUCCUGCAUCGAGGUGGACCUGACUGGCCAGGUGGUGUCCGAUUCUAUAGGGACCCGGAUGUACUCAGGUGUGGGCGGCCAGGUGGACUUCAUACGCGGGGCGGCUGUGAGUCGUGAUGGCCUGGGCAAGCCUAUCCUCGCCAUGCCCUCCACUACCACCCGCGGGGAGUCCAAGAUCGUGCCCUUCCUCAAACCAGGUGGAGGCGUGGUCACUACCAGGGCCCAUAUACACUACUUGGUGACAGAGUACGGCAUAGCUUACCUCUUCGGCAAGAACCUCCGCCAAAGGGCCUACCACCUUAUCAACAUCGCCCACCCCGACCACCGCGAGGACCUGGAAAAGGCGGCGUUUGAGAGACUACACUGUAUGCCUUCACCCGACCUGUAAGAGGGAGGAGAAGAGGGCUACAGAAGGGGAGACUGAAAGAAGAAGUGAAGGGAGUGGAGGGAAAGGGAAACAUAGGGAGAAUAAACUAAAUGCCAUCAUCAGACCUGUAGAAGGGAGAAGAGGGUCAUGAGAAGGGUGAUGGAGAGACUGAAAGAAGAGUGAAGAAGGGAGUGGAGGAAAGGGAAACAUAGGGAGAAUAAGGCCCCGUUCCAUAGACUAAACUAAAUGCCAUCAUCAGACCUGAAGAAGGGAGGAGAAGAGGGUUAUGAGAAGGGUAAUGUAGAGACUGAAGGAAGUACUGAAGAAGGGAGUGGAUGGAAAGGGAAACAUAGGGAGAAUAAGGCCCAGUUCCAUAGACUAAAUUAAAUGCCCUCAUCAGACCUGUAGAAGGGAGGAGAAGAGUGUCAUGAGAAGGGUGAUGGAGAGACUGAAGGAAGUACUGAAGAAGGGAGUGGAGGGAAACAAGGAGAGUAAGGCUGUAGGUGUGUGUGUGGAACAAUGUGUAGAAGUGGACAACAAGAGGACAUGGACGGACAGUCAGAGAUAAACGAGUAACAAGAAGAGUUAACAAUGAAGAUACACAAGACGCGGACAACAGGGCACGCGACGAGACACACACACCAACAAGACCCCGCUCUCAAGACUAAACUGCAUCCCCUCAACCAACCAGUAUCGGGGAGAAGAUUGUAACAAAAGGCCUAAUGGAGAGACUGAAAGAAGGACUGAAGAAGGGAAUGGAGGGAAGAGUAACGUAGGGAGAGUAAGGCCCCGUUCCAGAGACUAAAGAAGAGACUAAUGAAGAGACUGAAAGAGGGACCAAAGAAGGGAGGGGAGAAGGAAGGGAAGAGAAACACAAGGAGAGUAAGGCCCAGUUCUAAAGACUAUACUGCAUCCCUUCAUCAAAUCUGUCAGAGAGAGAAGAGAAGUGCUGAAGAAGAGUAAUGAAGAGAAGUGAUGAAGAAGAGUAAUGAAGAAAAGUGCUGAAGAAGAGUAAUGAAGAGAAGUGCUGAAGAAGAGUAAUGAAGAGAAGUGAUGAAGAAGAGGAAUGAAGAGAAGUGCUGAAGAAGAGGAAUGAAGAGAAGUGCUGAAGAAGAGGAAUGAAGAGAAGUGCUGAAGAAGAGGAAUGAAGAGAAGUGCUGAAGAAGAGGAAUGAAGAGAAGUGCUGAAGAAGAGGAAUGAAGAGAAGUGCUGAAGAAGAGUAAUGAAGAGAAGUGCUGAAGAAGAGUAAUGAAGAGAAGUGCUGAAGAAGAGUAAUGAAGAGAAGUGCUGAAGAAGAGUAAUGAAGAGAAGUGCUGAAGAAGAGGAAUGAAGAGAAGUGCUGAAGAAGAGUAAUGAAGAGAAGUGCUGAAGAAGAGUAAUGAAGAGAAGUGCUGAAGAAGAGGAAUGAAGAGAAGUGCUGAAGAAGAGGAAUGAAGAGAAGUGCUGAAGAAGAGGAAUGAAGAGAAGUGCUGAAGAAGAGUGAAGAAUAACGAAGAGGAGUAAUGAAGAGAACUGAUGAAGAAGAAUGAAGAGUAACGAAGAGAAGUAAUGAAGAGAAGUGUUGAAGAAGAGUAAUGAAGAGAAGUGCUGAAGAAGAAUGAAGAGUAACGAAGAGGAGUAAUGAAGAGAAGUGCUGAAGAAGAAUGAAGAGUAACGAAGAGGAGUAAUGAAGAGAACUGAUGAAGAAGAAUGAAGAGUAACGAAGAGGAGUAAUGAAGAGAAGUGAUGAAGAAGAAUGAAGAGUAACGAAGAGAAGUAAUGAAGAGAAGUGAUGAAGAAUGAAGAGAGGUGCUGAAUAAAGUAAUGAAGGAGAGGAAUGAAGGGAAAUGCUGAAGAAGUGGAAUGAAGAGUAUAUGAAGAAGAAUGAAGAGAAAUGUUGAAGAAGAGAAAUGCAGAGAAGUGCUGAAGAAAGAAGUGGAAGGAAGGCUAACUAACGAAGGAAGAGUAAGGCCCCGGAGAAAACAGACAGAGACAGAGAGUAAUGAUAAAACAAUACGUAACGCGAAUAUCAGUACAUCCUUAAUAGCGUUAACAGCAUAGUAUUAGUUGUUAAGAACCAUAUAUUAUACAUUUAUCCAUAUACAACCGUUCGCCCAACCCAUAUUUUUUAUAACGAAAGAAGAAAACUACUAUUAUCAUGACUAUUAUUAUUAUUAUUAUUAUUAUUAUUAUUAUUAUUAUCAUUAUCAUUAUUAUUGUUCUAGUCACAAAACUGAGUCACUUAUUUCCUAAAUGUCUAUGGACCAAAGACUUAUUGUUUUGUUUAUUUCCGAGAUAUGCUUAAAACCGAGUCACUAUUUACUAUUAUUCUGAUUCACACACACACACACACACACACACACACACA